GAUGAACGCUAGCGGCAGGCCUAACACAUGCAAGUCGAGGGGUAUCCCGCUUUCGGGCGGGAGAGACCGGCGCACGGGUGCGUAACGCGUAUGCAACCUACCCUGUACUGGGGGAUAGCCCGGAGAAAUUCGGAUUAACACCCCAUAGUACUAAUGAAUGGCAUCAUUUAUUAGUUAAAGGUUACGGUACAGGAUGGGCAUGCGUCCUAUUAGCUAGAUGGUAAGGUAACGGCUUACCAAGGCUACGAUAGGUAGGGGGCCUGAGAGGGUGGUCGCCCACACGGGUACUGAGACACGGACGGGACUCCGACGGGAGGCAGCAGUGGGGAAUAUUGGUCAAUGGGCGCAAGCCUGAACCAGCCAUGCCGCGUGCAGGAAGUCGGUCCUAUGGAUUGUAAACUGCUUUUAUUUGGGAAUAAACCUCUUUACGUGUAGAGAGCUGAAGGUACCAAAUGAAUAAGCACCGGCUAACUCCGUGCCAGCAGCCGCCGUAA
rnacentral:rRNA from 1 species